UCAAGGGCUUUUGAUUGAGAUGAACUGAGCCUGCUGUCUGACCAGAAAAACAGCACACAACAGAUUUGUUUGGCACUUCAGCACACGACGUUAAAACCGCAGCGUGGUAACACAAACACAAUGUGAACCAUUCAGCCCAUGUGUGACGCUGAUCCUACAGGAAGUAGUUCCUCUCAGCUCUUCCACUUCCUGUUUCCUCGUCCACUUCUGCACAUCGAAGCGGUGCACCGUCUGUGAGCUUCAGGACGUCCAGAGCGAGUAUGCAGCGAGGGCCAAUAGAAACCACACCAUGAGCACAAGAACCUUCUGCGUCCACAGACACGAGUCCAGCUUCUGCUCCAGACGCGAGUUACUCGCCAUCACACGCAUCAGCUGCACGAGAAGAUUCACGUUUCAGAAAGACGUGCAUUAAUCAAUCAUGCACGAUAAGGUCCUGAUGCUCGUUGCUCGCCGCUGACGGACUCUCAGACCAGUUGCUCAGAAUAGACUUUGGGCUCUCGAGGAGGA